GAUGAACGCUAGCGGGAGGCUUAACACAUGCAAGUCGAGGGGCAGCAUAGGGUAGCAAUACUCUGAUGGCGACCGGCAAACGGGUGAGUAACGCGUAUGCAACCUACCCUGUACAGGGGGAUAACCCGGAGAAAUUCGGACUAAUAUCCCGUAAUAAUAUCCGGAGGCAUCUUUGGAUAUUUAAAGUUCCGACGGUACGGGAUGGGCAUGCGUAACAUUAACUGGUUGGUAAGGUAACGGCUUACCAAGGCUAUGAUGUUUAGGGGUCCUGAGAGGGUGGUCCCCCACACUGGUACUGAGACACGGACCAGACUCCUACGGGAGGCAGCAGUGAGGAAUAUUGGUCAAUGGGCGCAAGCCUGAACCGGCCAUCCCGCGUGCAGGAAGACGGCCCUAUGGGUUGUAAACUGCUUUUCCAGGGAGAGAAACUUACGCACGUGUUGCGUGACUGACGGUACCCUGGGAAUAAGCAUCGGCUAACUCCGUG
rnacentral:rRNA from 1 species